ACAAAGAUUGAAUUUUGAAUUGUUGUAACCCACCCUGGAUAGGCUGGUAAAAGUGUGGUAACAAAUUUUAUCACCACCCUUGAAUUUUUCUUUUCAAAGGUAAAAGUCAUGUCUAUUUCUCCUUCCCACUUUUGCUUCAGGCCCCAACCACUGCUGCCAUGCAUGUAGGUGGUUGUGCCAUGCAGCCUGCAGACUGAAAAAGGUUUCCCACAUGUGUUCUAACUGGAGAGGCAAGGAAUUGGACCUAGAACUUUUCACAUGCAAAACAUGUGCAUUAACCCUGCCCCCUCCCUGACCUUUUCACCAGAAAACCAUGUAAUUUCUUUCACAGUACCAGCAAUCCAGGGGAUGCAGAACUCUGAGAGACUUUCAUAACUGCAUGCCACUCUGCUGCAGAGGGAUAUUUGCUCUGAUGGCAGCAAUUGUUUAUGAUCCUUUUGGUCAGAGAGGGCUGCUUGACUUGAACCUGUUAUUGUGCACGUUUCGAAAACAGGAACACCUGAUCAGCUGUGUCAGAGAGUGUCCCAAAAGUCCGGUCCCCCACAAGGUCUGAGGGACAGUGGACCGGCCCCCUGCUGAAAAAGUUUGCUGACCCCUGCAUUAAAGCCCUUGAAAAGAAUCCUCCUUCAAGCUCUUGUUCUUCAGCAACUGGGAGCUAGGUGUCAGAGGCAGUUGCCAGGGUCAGUUCUGUGUGUACAAGAUUUUAGCUGUUAGACGACUUCCGGCAAGGCAAGAUGGCAAGCACCAUGGCCGCACCAAGCUCAUGGGGACCACCAGCAGCAACAGGGUUCUCUGGCUGGUCCCCACACUGCCAACACGGCCACCACAAGCAGGGGCACCCAAUGCAAAGGCUAAGAGGGCUGUGUGGAGCCCCCAAACCCCUCCCCAAUGACCUUGGCUCCUCCAGGACUGGGAUCGCCCCAACGACAAUCCAGCAGAGCUCAGAGGUCUGGAGGCCUCCAAGCUAAGCAGACAACAUAGUGGGGCCCCCACCCCAGCCAAACACCAGCCUUCACUGCCACAGCCCCCGUUGCAUCCAUCGAGAGAGAGAGAGAGGUAGGAGGGGACUGGGAGAAGCAGGGAGGCCACGUAGAAGUGCACAGCCCAGUCCAGACUCGGCCCCCACCCAACCUCUCUGGUGACUGGCGCGAGGGUAGUGGGCAGGAGCCUGUCAAGGAACCACGUAAAAGGUAUUGCUGUGCGGGCGCUCCCCUGCCGGCAGAGGGGUGCCACUGUUGGUUGGAAAUGGA